UAGCUCUUACGGUUCUUUAAAAGAAGAUAUUUAAAGAUUUUUCUUUCGGUUGCCAUGGCAACCAGAGUUCUGCAUGGAAUUAAAUUCUUUGAACAAUUUUUAAAGGUGACCACCAAAGGAACAUUCCUGUGAAGUUUGGAUGAAAUUGGCUCAGUGGUUUAUGAGGAGAUGUCAUUUAAAGCAAAAGUUUACGGACGGAUGACGGACGGACGCCGGACGAAAAGCGAUCACAAAAGCUCACCCUGUCACUUUGUGACAGGUGAGCUAAAAAGGUGAAAUUAACUGGAAAAUGACAAAAUUCCACUCUUUUUCCACUGUAGUGGCAAAAUUGCCACCAAAUGCCACUAUCCUUUGGUGGCAUUUAGGUGGCAUUGAGUGGAAAUUUGAACAUAGACUUUUUUUAUGGUGGCAAAAGGGUGGAAAUUGGUGAAAAAUGAAACUUAGUUUAUUUUGAAGGUGGAAAAUGAGUGGCUUUUAGUGGAAAAGUGAAACUCUAACUAUUUUCUGGGUGGCAAAUUAGUGGAAAAACACUUAGAAAAUUUUUCUGCAUAAAGUUUGUUGCUUCUGCUUUGAUCUUUAAUGUCAAGCUUGAAUAAUGUUUGACUUUGGUCUUUUCUUCUUAUUGAGAUUUGUCUCUUUAAUAUUACUUUAAACUGAUAUCUGGUGAGUACUAACACUUUUCAUGUAAUGCUUACAAUAAUUAAAGUGAAAAAUGCAAAGGGCAAUAACUCCAAAAGUAUGCAAAAGAGUUAUGGUUCUUAAACACAGCACAUUACUCAAAAAGAUCUAUAUCUGUGAAGUUUCAAAUUAAUAUCUCCAAUACUUUUUAAGCUUAAUGAUCAAGACAAAAAUUAAGCAUGGAGAAGUACAAAAUGGCAAUAAACCCCAAUUCAUACAAUAAAGAGUUAUGGUUCCUAGGCCUUGUACUUCUCAUCAAUGAGAUUUAGUUAUAUGUGGAGUUUAAAAUUAUUGUAUCUAACAUUUUUUGUACUAUACUUUGCAGAUGAAAACUUACAAAGGGCAAUAACUCCAUAAAUUUGCAGGAGAGAGUUAUGUAUUUUUAAGAAGAAACAAACAUGAAUCAAACUUGUUAGCAAUAAUAUUUAAAUGCUAUUUAAUAAAUAUACAUAAAAAGUAGAUCAGCCUUCAAGAUAAUGAAGCACUGUGCUUGCUUAUUAUACCUCACUCUACCAAGCCUGUGUAUGAAAAUUAGUCAUACACAAUAUAGUAUGCCUUUCAGAGGCUUUAAAUCUAUUGUAAAAAUAAUUCUGUGAAAAGUAAAUAGGUAAUAAGUUCCUGAUAAUUUCUUAUAAAAUCAGGAUAAGUAAAUACUAGCUAGUAAAUACUACAUCCUCUAAGAUUUAACAACAAGGCAUACAACACAGAUCUGAUAAAACUACUGCCCUCUAAUCUAGUUAUCUCUGCAUGGGGGUUAAUAGUUUACUCAUGCUGACCAGAAUGUUCCAUUUGAUUAUUUUGGGAGAGGCAACAUUAUACAUGUUAUAUGUAGAAUCUGUGUUAAAAUAGCAUGCUAAAUAAUUAUUAUCUUUCAAAAACUUAUUUCUACUCAAUCUAUUUAGGUAUUAGACAUAGUUUAUACAUUCAAAUGAAUGUAAAAAUAAAAUGAUGGGUGCGAUGGUUUAUGAAUAAUCCCUCACAGUUUAAAGUUAUAAUGGAACUUUCCAGUAGUACGGUUGUAAAGUUUGAAUUCAAAGGAAUUGAGGUCAGUUAAAGCUUGCAAACACAAAGGAAAUGAUUGGUUUUGUAGCAAUUCUGGAGAUAUUAUUUUGUUUAAAAUGUAAGGGUGCAUAUUUUUGAUUUCUCAAAGAAUACAUUAAAAGUCUUAUUAGUGUGGCAAAUAGAAAUGAGAAGUUUUAACUGAAGUGUGAAUGUGUAGAUUAUUACAUUAGACAAGAAGAUAAACAGCAGAAUCAUUCCAAGUCAAAGUUUCAGGUAAACAACUUUUACAUACAAUAAUUAUUAUUAUCUAUGCAGAAACUGUUAAGUUUUUUAACAGUAAAAAUAUGAAGUGGUAUUGUAUAAAAUUAUGUUUUAAAUUUGUUUUAUUUGUCACUUGACUAAAAAUGAAAGCUGCAUGUACAUAUAAAGAAUGUAGGAAUAUAAAGAAUGUAGGAAGAGCUUCAUCAUUUCUUAAAUACAGUAUGUUAGAAAUGUUAAGUUUGAGAAAAUAAUUAUAGAAAUUAAUCAGUAAGUACAAUAUCAUUAUGUACAACAUUACAUCAAUCAAAUUAUAGAUAACCAGGUACCUAUUACUACAACUUUCAUGCUAUAAACAUUUUUCCUUGUGUGUCACAUGUGAAGCAGAUCAACAGUAACUGUUUUAUUAGUAAGUUUCAUUCCUUCAUUGUUGUAAUUCAGCUUUCAUGGUGCAGUAGAUAUAUAACCAUAACUAGACAGUCUAGAGUAACAAGCUGUUAGGGGAAUGACAGUUCAUAACAGAAACAGCAUUAAAUAAGAUUUUUUCUUUUGCAGACACAAAGCAAUGAGGAGCAGCCUGGAGCAAUGUGCUUGUUCUUCAGUGGCUUUACAAUUUAGGUCCAAGUGAUGGCAGAACUGAGGCACUAUGCCCUAUGAGAAAGGUACGACAAGGCUUUUCAGAAUGCUAUUCAAUAUAGAAGAGAUUAAAGGCUGCUCAUUGUUUGGUAUCAGGAAAUGGAACAGAGACUCUCUGAGAGUCUGACGCCAGACCUGCUUGUGCAGACAAGGCAAAACUUAAGUUCUUGAAAGAUUGUGCGCUGGAAAAGUGGCUGACAACCCAAAGGACUGAAAUCCAUAGGGUGAUUCUGCACCUCCUCAAACCGUCCAGGAAUAGAAAGAUAAACUGAAGAUAAUAAAUGGACUAAUGUGUUGCUAUUUUUUGAGACAAUUAUUUCAUAUGGAGACAUUAAAAAGGAUUAUUUUUAAAA